rnacentral:rRNA from 1 species
AUACAGAGGGUGCGAGCGUUAAUCGGAAUUACUGGGCGUAAAGCGCGCGUAGGCGGUCUAUUAAGUCAGAUGUGAAAUCCCAGGGCUCAACCUUGGAACUGCAUCUGAUACUGGUAGACUAGAGUUUUGGAGAGGGAAGUAGAAUUUCAGGUGUAGCGGUGAAAUGCAUAGAGAUCUGAAGGAAUACCAGUGGCGAGGGCGACUUCCUGGCCAAAAACUGACGCUGAGGUGCGAAAGCGUGGGUAGCAAACGGGAUUAGAAACCCUAGUAGUCC